rnacentral:sRNA from 1 species
AGAAAAACUUUAAGUGAGGUUAUUGAUAGACAAAAGGAAAAGCCAAUUCUCACUUAUGUAUUCCUUAAUGGACGGGUAAAAUAGGAGUUUUUUCUUUCAAAGAGAAAAAUAUGGUUUCUAAUAUUAAUAAUUAAAAUGAUUCUUGAAACUUCCAUAAUAAUUGAAGAUGAUCUGACAGUUCUCUUUGGCAUUUAUAUAGAGAAGAAUAAGUACUAAAUACCAGUUUUACUAAAUAUGUUUUUUCUUUUGCAGAAGAAUGCAGAUGUGCUGUUUUCCUCAUUUCAGAAACCGAAACAGAAACGACAUAGAUGUCGAAACCCUAAUAAAUUGGAUAUAAACACUUUGACAGGAGAAGAAAGGGUGCCUGUUGUCAAUAAACGAAAUGGGAAGAAGAUGGGUGGAGCUAUGGCGCCUCCAAUGAAGGAUCUACCCAGGUGGCUGGAAGAAAAUCCUGAAUUUGCAGUUGCUCCAGACUGGACUGAUAUAGUUAAGCAGUCUGGUUUUGUUCCUGAGUCGAUGUUUGACCGCCUUCUCACUGGGCCUGUAGUGCGGGGAGAGGGAGCGAGCAGAAGAGGAAGAAGGCCCAAAAGUGAGAUCGCCAGAGCAGCCGCGGCCG